UACGUAGGGGGCAAGCGUUGUCCGGAAUCACUGGGCGUAAAGGGCGCGUAGGCGGCCCUGUCAGUCGGGUGUGAAAGCCCGGGGCUCAACCCCGGAACGGCACCCGAGACGGCAGGGCUGGAGACCGGGAGAGGAGGGUGGAAUAGCCAGUGUAGAGGUGAAAUUCGUAGAUAUUGGCUGGAACACCGGUGGCGAAAGCGGCUCUCUGGCCCGGUUCUGACGCUGAGGCGCGAAAGCGUGGGGAGCAAACAGG
rnacentral:rRNA from 1 species